UGGGGAAUUUUGGACAAUGGGCGAAAGCCUGAUCCAGCAAUGCCGCGUGUGUGAAGAAGGCCUUCGGGUUGUAAAGCACUUUUGUCCGGAAAGAAAUCCUUGGCUCUAAUACAGUCGGGGGAUGACGGUACCGGAAGAAUAAGCACCGGCUAACUACGUGCCAGCAGCCGCGGUAAUACGUAGGGUGCAAGCGUUAAUCGGAAUUACUGGGCGUAAAGCGUGCGCAGGCGGUUUGCUAAGACCGAUGUGAAAUCCCCGGGCUCAACCUGGGAACUGCAUUGGUGACUGGCAGGCUAGAGUAUGGCAGAGGGGGUAGAAUUCCACGUGUAGCAGUGAAAUGCGUAGAGAUGUGGAGGAAUACCGAUGGCGAAGGCAGCCCCCUGGGCCAAUACUGACGCUCAUGCACGAAAGCGUGGGGAGCAAACAGGAUUAGAUACCCUGGUAGUCCACGCCCUAAACGAUGUCAACUAGUUGUUGGGGAUUCAUUUCCUUAGUAACGUAGCUAACGCGUGAAGUUGACCGCCUGGGGAGUACGGUCGCAAGAUUAAACUC
rnacentral:rRNA from 1 species